rnacentral:tmRNA from 1 species
GGGCUUGACAGGUUUCGACGGGGCAUUUUAAGUUGAAGAAGCUAUCCGCAGGUGAUGCGUUAAAUCACAAAUUAAAAAUAAACGCUGAAGAAAAUUUAGCAUACGCUGCCUAAGGGCAGCUGUCCUGCCUAGUGCACCUACACACUAGGGCCAGGGCAUCGGUCUUGUAGGAAACGCGCUUGCAAAGCUUUGCGCAGGCGGCAGAUUUAUGAAGCUACUAAAACCGUUACGGUGUCUAUGACGGGGCGGCAGAGGGAAUGUUAAUCCACAGACUAUGAUAGUAGAAGGGCAAUGGCGAAUGUUUCGGACGCGGGUUCAAAUCCCGCCAGGUCCACUA